rnacentral:rRNA from 1 species
UACAGCAUCCAUAUCACCCUGCAAUUCACAACUGUCGGCCCACUCAAACUAAGCAGGUGUGAGCCUGGUCAGUACCUGAAUGGGAGACUCCUGGGAAAGCUAAGGUUGGUGCUGGAA